rnacentral:rRNA from 1 species
AUUGAACGCUGGCGGCAGGCCUAACACAUGCAAGUCGAGCGGAGCGGCGGACGGGUGAGUAAGGCCUAGGAAUCUGCCUGGUAGUGGGGGAUAACGUCCGGAAACGGGCGCUAAUACCGCAUACUAUAAGCUAAGCCUAGGUCGGAUUAGGUAUUUGGUGAGGUAAAGGCUGACCCAGCCGACGAUCUCUAGCGGGUCUGAGAGGAUGACCAGCCACACUGGGACUGAGACACGGCCCAGACUCCUACGGGAGGCAGCAUUGGGGAAUAUUGCGCAAUGGGGGCAACCCUGAUGCAGCCAGGCCGCGUGAAUGAAGAAGGCCUUCGGGUUGUAAAGUUCUUUCGGUAGCGAGGCGUUAACUACAGAAGAAGCACCGGCUAACUCCGUGCCAGCAGCCGCGGUAAUUC